UCCGUAGCCAUUUUGGCUCAAG
rnacentral:ncRNA from 10 species